CAGUCGCCGCGGGAAUACGUAGGUCCCGAGCGUUGUCCGGAUUUAUUGGGCGUAAAGGGAGCGCAGGCGGUUUAGUAAGUCUGGAGUUAAAGGCAUUGGCUCAACCAAUGUAUGCUUUGGAAACUGUUUGACUUGAGUGCAGAAGAGGAGAGUGGAAUUCCACGUGUAGCGGUGAAAUGCGUAGAGAUGUGGAGGAACACCAGUGGCGAAAGCGGCUCUCUGGUCUGUAACUGACGCCGAGGCUCGAAAGCGUGGGGAGCAAACAGGAUUAGAUACCCGAGUAGUCCCUGUCUCUUAUACA
rnacentral:rRNA from 1 species